rnacentral:lncRNA from 1 species
AGGUACGGAAUACCGCGAAUGAUGCUCAAAACCAACACUUAAGGACUCAUGGCCUCGUCAGAGAAUAUCAGGGGACAGCUGUUCACGUUGUUAAAACAAUGCUUCCUCUCAUUGAGACGGGAAUAAAGAAAAGGAAGACUAUCCUGGUACAAAAGGGCUUGGAUAAAGUGUUGACAUACGUGGAUGACAUGGUAAAGAAGACCAAGGAAACUGUAAAUGAAUACUACAAGAUCAAGACUGCGGUGAAUGAUGAAAUAUCAAAUAUUGACGAAAAGAAUAGAAAUAUUAAAUUGAGAGGGAGUGAAAUAAAAGCUGAAAUAAA